UUGACCUGUCUGUACCAAACCCACAGUUGCACUAUUGACCUGUCUAUACCAAACCCACAGUUGGACUAUUGACCUGUCUGUACCAAACCCACAGGUGGACUAUUGACCUGUCUGUACCAAACCCACAGUUAGACUAUUGACCUGUCUGUACCAAACCCACAGGUGGACUAUUGACCUGUCUGUACCAAACCCACAGUUAGACUAUUGACCUGUCUGUACCAAACCCACAGUUAGACUAUUGACCUGUCUGUACCAAACCCACAGGUGGACUAUUGACCUGUCUGUACCAAACCCACAGUUGGACUAUUGACCUGUCUGUACCAAACCCACAGUUGGACUAUUGACCCGUCUGUACCAAACCCACAGUUAGACUAUUGACCUGUCUGUACCAAACCCACAGUUGGACUAUUGACCUGUCUGUACCAAACCCACAGGUGGACUAUUGACCUGUCUGUACCAAACCCACAGUUGGACUAUUGACCUGUCUGUACCAAACCCACAGUUGGACUAUUGACCUGUCUGUACCAAACCCACAGUUGGACUAUUGACCUGUCUGUACCAAACCCACAGUUGGACUAUUGACCUGUCUGUACCAAACCCACAGUUGGACUAUUGACCUGUCUGUACCAAACCCACAGUUAGACUAUUGACCUGUCUGUACCAAACCCACAGUUGGACUAUUGACCUGUCUGUACCAAACCCACAGUUGGACUAUUGACCUGUCUGUACCAAACCCACAGUUGGACUAUUGACCUGUCUGUACCAAACCCACAGUUGGACUAUUGACCUGUCUGUACCAAACCCACAGUUGGACUAUUGACCUGUCUGUACCAAACCCACAGUUAGACUAUUGACCUGUCUGUACCAAACCCACAGUUGGACUAUUGACCUGUCUGUACCAAACCCACAGUUAGACUAUUGACCUGUCUGUACCAAACCCACAGUUAGACUAUUGACCUGUCUGUACCAAACCCACAGUUGCACUAUUGACCUGUCUGUACCAAACCCACAGUUGCACUAUUGACC